rnacentral:rRNA from 1 species
CCUACGGGAGGCAGCAGUGAGGAAUAUUGGUCAAUGGGCGCGAGCCUGAACCAGCCAAGUCGCGUGAGGGAAGACGGUCCUAUGGAUUGUAAACCUCUUUUGUCGGGGAGCAAAAGACGCCACGCGUGGCGUUCCGAGAGUACCCGAAGAAAAAGCAUCGGCUAACUCCGUGCCAGCAGCCGAGGUAAUACGGAGGAUGCGAGCGUUAUCCGGAUUUAUUGGGUUUAAAGGGUGCGCAGGCGGAAGAUCAAGUCAGCGGUAAAAUUGAGGGGCUCACCCUCUUCCGGCCGUUGAAACUGGUUUUCUUGAUUGAGUGAUCAGUCUGCGGCCUGCGUGGUGUAGCGGUGACAUGC